rnacentral:other from 1 species
GUGUUCCUGAAGUGUGCGCCAGCGUCUAGUUUUUACCGACACUUCACAAUUGGAACUUGCGUUCGUACACGGAUGUCAUGCCCCCGCUUUUUGCGCCAGGGGAAGACAAAAGCGUGCGGCAGAGUACCAACCUGCUUAUACAUAGCGGGUGAAAAACAUGACGCAGCGGCACUUUGGGAUUGUU